GAGAAGAACGUAGCGAAAUGCGAUAAGUAAUGUGAAUUGCAGAAUUCAGUGAAUCAUCGAAUCUUUGAACGCACAUUGCGCCCCUUGGUAUUCCGAGGGGCAUGCCUGUUCGAGCGUCAUAUUAACCACUCCCGCUUGCGGGGUCUUGGGCUUCGCCUCCGGGCGGGCCUUAAAAUCAGUGGCGGUGCCGUCGGGCUCUACGCGUAGUAAAUUUUCUCGCGAUAGGGUCCCGGUGGAUGCUUGCCAACAACCCCCAACUUCUUAAGGUUGACCUCGGAUCAGGUAGGGAUACCCGCUGAACUUAAGCAUAUCAAUAAGCGGAGGA
rnacentral:misc_RNA from 1 species